UACGGAGGGUGCGAGCGUUGUCCGGAAUCACUGGGCGUAAAGGGCGCGUAGGUGGCGCAGGAAGUCAACGGUGAAAGUUCGGGGCUCAACCCUGAAUCGGCCGUCGAUACUCCUGGGCUCGAGCACUGUAGAGGCAGAUGGAAUUCCGGGUGUAGCGGUGGAAUGCGUAGAGAUCCGGAAGAACACCGGUGGCGAAGGCGGUCUGCUGGGCAGU
rnacentral:rRNA from 1 species